ACCACCAGCUGCAGGUCCCACAGAGAGAAAAUGUGACCAUGCAAGGUAGUGGGCAGCUUUACAAAGACAUCACCAUCGAGAAGCUGACGGAGAUGGUAGCAGAGGUGCUUGUGGUGGCGAGAGG